UUUUUCAUCUAUAUCAUUUAUGAAUUCAAUGAACACACAUUAUUUUAACGUUCUGUGUGCAACUAUUUGUCGGGGCGCCCCUGUUUGUAACCCCCGCGCGCGCGCCGAAUGUAAACAGUAACGAACGGCAUUGUAGAAAAGAGAGAGCCGUAAUGCAGAAGAGAAGUUGUGUAUUCUUUCGACGUACAAAUGCAUUUUCAAUUUACUGUGAAACAUAUGAACAUGCACAGGGAACAAUACUACAUAUUUGUUUAAGGAGGAUAUUUUUCUCUUGGAAUCGUUUACGAGGAAAUUCUGACAGCCACACUUCUGUCGACGAUCAGCCGUUGAUAAGCUACGAGUAAUAAAGGGGAAAAGAUGGACAUUAAAGUGUGUGAUUUAUGUGGAUGUUACUGAAGAAGCUCAAAACAGACUCUUGUUGCCACAUGGCUUUCACCGGUACCUGUUGAUUCUUGUGGGUCAGCUCCUGAGAUUAACCUGUCACCUCUAUCCACAUGCAUAUUCCUUGUGUUCUACAGACUAUUUACCGGUAAUUCAAAUUAAAUCCGAUAAUGCAUAAACAAUAAUGGAACUUGAAGAAAGCAUCAUGCCAUGUUGUGGUUUGUGUUUGAUAAGAAAUUAUGAAAACAAAAUUAAGGCUGUUUAUAAAGAAAUUCAUAAUUGCUGUGAAAAUUUGUUUUUCAAUAAAAGUAUGCAAUUAUG